AUGCAGCUUCCGGUGGUGUCGCCGCCGCUGAACCCUUCUAAUCACCCAGAUGAACUUGCAAUUCGUGGUAGUGACGAUGAAGUAACGGUGGCAACUACUGAGAUCCUCCCUUACAAGCUACAAGCUACCGCUAUAUGUAAAGAAAACUAUGAGGAGAUAAAUGAUUCGAAGGUUUCCAAAGCUUACCGGACGGAAUACAAUCUAGGGAAAGUGAUUAUCAGCGAGAUUCUUUGA